rnacentral:rRNA from 1 species
AGAGUGGCGGGUGCUAUACAUGCAAGUCGAGCGCGGGAAGCAAGCUGAUCCUCUUCGGAGGUGACGCUUGUGGAACGAGCGGCGGACGGGUGAGUAACACGUGGGCAACCUGCCUGUAAGACUGGGAUAACCCCGGGAAACCGGGGCUAAUACCGGAUAAUACUUUUCAUCACCUGAUGGGAAGUUGAAAGGUGGCUUUUAGCUACCACUUACAGAUGGGCCCGCGGCGCAUUAGCUAGUUGGUGAGGUAACGGCUCACCAAGGCAACGAUGCGUAGCCGACCUGAGAGGGUGAUCGGCCACACUGGGACUGAGACACGGCCCAGACUCCUACGGGAGGCAGCAGUAGGGAAUCUUCCGCAAUGGACGAAAGUCUGACGGAGCAACGCCGCGUGAGUGAUGAAGGUUUUCGGAUCGUAAAGCUCUGUUGUUAGGGAAGAACAAGUGCCGUUCGAAUAGGGCGGCACCUUGACGGUACCUAACCAGAAAGCCCCGGCUAACUACGUGCCAGCAGCCGCGGUAAUACGUAGGGGGCAAGCGUUGUCCGGAAUUAUUGGGCGUAAAGCGCGCGCAGGCGGUCCUUUAAGUCUGAUGUGAAAGCCCACGGCUCAACCGUGGAGGGUCAUUGGAAACUGGAGGACUUGAGUACAGAAGAGGAGAGUGGAAUUCCACGUGUAGCGGUGAAAUGCGUAGAGAUGUGGAGGAACACCAGUGGCGAAGGCGACUCUCUGGUCUGUAACUGACGCUGAGGCGCGAAAGCGUGGGGAGCGAACAGGAUUAGAUACCCUGGUAGUCCACGCCGUAAACGAUGAGUGCUAGGUGUUAGGGGGUUUCCGCCCCUUAGUGCUGAAGUUAACGCAUUAAGCACUCCGCCUGGGGAGUACGGCCGCAAGGCUGAAACUCAAAAGAAUUGACGGGGGCCCGCACAAGCGGUGGAGCAUGUGGUUUAAUUCGACGCAACGCGAAGAACCUUACCAGGUCUUGACAUCCUCUGCAAUCGGUAGAGAUACCGAGUUCCCUUCGGGGACAGAGUGACAGGUGGUGCAUGGUUGUCGUCAGCUCGUGUCGUGAGAAUGUUGGGUUAAGUCCCGCAACGAGCGCCAACCCUUGAUC